AGUGAACGCUGGCGGUAGGCCUAACACAUGCAAGUCGAACGGCAGCACAGUAAGAGCUUGCUCUUACGGGUGGCGAGUGGCGGACGGGUGAGGAAUACAUCGGAAUCUACUUUUUCGUGGGGGGUAACGUAGGGAAACUUACGCUAAUACCGCAUACGACCUACGGGUGAAAGCAGGGGAUCUUCGGACCUUGCGCGAUUGAAUGAGCCGAUGUCGGAUUAGCUAGUUGGCAGGGUAAAGGCCCACCAAGGCGACGAUCCGUAGCUGGUCUGAGAGGAUGAUCAGCCACACUGGAACUGAGACACGGUCCAGACUCCUACGGGAGGCAGCAGUGGGGAAUAUUGGACAAUGGGCGCAAGCCUGAUCCAGCCAUACCGCGUGGGUGAAGAAGGCCUUCGGGUUGUAAAGCCCUUUUGUUGGGAAAGAAAAGCAGCAGGUUAAUACCCCGCUGUUCUGACGGUACCCAAAGAAUAAGCACCGGCUAACUUCGUG
rnacentral:rRNA from 1 species